GGGGAGUCUGUGGGCGGAUUACUCUAGGGUGUGGGCAAUCUCUUCUGAAGUGGCCGGGCUGAUUACAGUUAAAACAGGUCCGGAUUGUCGUGAGGGUCCGGUCCCGGGGAGAGGGGAUAGAUGCAGGCAGUGUCUGGGGUAACUGAGUGUAUUGUUGGGGGAGUAUCUGAGGAACUUGGUUAGGACUGACAAUUGGUGCAGAGGUAGUAUACAUCAGAGGGCUAGUUCUUCGCUGUGUGGGUUGCAGAACAGAUUCUAAACCCUUGGCUACCAGCAAAAGUGUGUCCAGUGGAAUAAUUCUGUACUCUGGGCGAGCUAAAAUCAACCCCUUACGAAUGUGUUCCCUAAGGCCAGCCACAAAGGCUGCAGAUAACAUCUGGGUGUGUGCUUUGUUAUAGGUGCUGAACCCUAAGUCUGAGAAAGUCUGAGUCAAUCUGGAGUGGUACUUUUCAACAGUCUCAAGCUUAUCCUGAAUUAUGUCAUUUAUACAAGUAGCCUGAUCUGCUAAUUUAUCCUGUGCCCAAGCUCGGAGCUGCUCACAGAAAAUUUCACCAGAACGAAAAUCUGUAUCAGAAGUGAGUGGAGCGUCAUUAAAGCUCCGUUCCAUGAUUGGCCAGUAUGCAUCUCCAGCCUUUAUUUCACACAAACUUAUAAGAUCCCGCCAGGCAGCGGAAUAUGUUUUUCGGAUUUGAGCCAUCCUGCGGAAAAAGGGCAUGGGGUGUUUCUCAGGAUCUGGGAGUGAGGUCACAAGGGUAGCAGCUUGGGAAGGGUUGAAGGUAACAUACAUGGGUGGUGCACCAUCCGCUUCAUGGUUAAUCUGGGUAUAACCCUGGGGGAUAGAGAGCCGUUGGGGGAGCCUGUUCCCCCCUGGGCGAGGUGAAUCCUGUUCUACCACAACAAUCUCCUUGGGUGCUACUGGGCCACGGGGCAGAGUAGUCUCAGGGGUAGCUGUGGCAGGGGCGGCAGGGAGACCGGUGAUGGGAGAGGUAGUUGGGUGGAAGCCCGAGGCCUGGGGGGAAGCACCCACUGCAUAGGGUUGAUCCGACGUCACAGACACUUCGGAUCCAACCACCAUGAUUGGAUAACUAGCGCUGGUGGGAGAGACAUGAGGGACCAAUGCCAUGGAUGGGGUUGCUGUGGGGGCCGGCUGAGAUGGGCGUGAGAGGUGGGUAUUUAGGACAUGAGCGAGAGCAGUGAUUGGAUCGGAAGGCUCGG